rnacentral:misc_RNA from 1 species
GAUGAAGAACGUAGCGAAAUGCGAUAAGUAAUGUGAAUUGCAGAAUUCAGUGAAUCAUCGAAUCUUUGAACGCACAUUGCGCCCUCUGGUAUUCCGGGGGGCAUGCCUGUUCGAGCGUCAUUAUAACCACUCAAGCUCUCGCUUGGUAUUGGGGCUCGCGGUUCCGCGGCCCCUAAAAUCAGUGGCGGUGCCUGUCGGCUCUACGCGUAGUAAUACUCCUCGCGAUUGAGUCCGGUAGGUCUACUUGCCAGCAACCCCCAAUUUUUACAGGUUGACCUCGGGUCAGGUAGGGAUACCCGCUGAACUUAAGCAUAUCAAUAAGCGGAGGA